GAGGAAUUCUUUUCUGGAUUUUGCCGGUGCGACCUACCGAUCAUGCGUAACCAUGGCCCCCCCACUCUCCUGUUCGGACAUGGAAACCAAGUCCACCAUCACGUCCGUCUUCCUUUCUUUUGCGCGCAUUCCUCCCGCAAAAACUAGUUUCAUUCUUUUUCCGGAUCAUGACGAAGGGUCUUUGUGCAGCUUGUCCGCCAAGUUCUUGUAUAUUAUUGGUAGCUGCCAUCACUUGGCGAGAUGCAACACGUCAAUAACCGGAGACUUACUGAAGAAGGAGCAAUCCCCCUGUUGUCCGUCCUUUUAAAAAUGCCAGCCAAGUUUGACGGAUGCGUGUUACAAGCUAUACGCUGGAUAGGUCCGUUUCCAUGUCGUGGAGGGGAUCAAGUAAAAAAACGUCACAUUUCCCAAACAUUCCAUCGUUGACAAAAUGGAAUGCAGCACCUCAACCGCUCAAAUACCUACAAUUGUCAAGCACUAUCGGCGAGUUUUAACGUCCGAAAAGGGAAACAUGAAAGCAUCACACAGCAAACGUUCGUUUCCCUCAUUUCGUCGGUGUUUUUAUUUUUAUUUUUUUUUCAGGUCCUAUUUUUAGUUGUGAAAACCACACAGACGUUUGUUGCUAUCCUCCUUCUUUCGUACAAAAAAAAAAAUCUAGCCCUCUCUCUUGCCGCUAAAUUGAUAAAUAGUCGGGAGAAAGGAAUGGAUACAUGUCGUUCCAGCUGCUCGAGUCGUCUCCGAUGUCAUCGCGCAUCCAGACGAACCGGGGGAGAGGACUUUUUCUUUGAAGAAAAGGAGAAGAAAACUUUCAACAAUACACGAAAAUAGUAAAUGAAUCAAAAAGGAAGCCUGUAUGGAUCGCGGUUGGACAAAAUAAAAAGGAGAAUAUCUUCUUUAAAUACACAAGAUGAGUUAGCAACCA